UGAGGAAUAUUGGACAAUGGAUGGAAAUCUGAUCCAGCCAUGCCGCGUGCAGGAAGACGGUCCUAUGGAUUGUAAACUGCUUUAGCAUGGGAGCAAUAAGGUGUACGCGUACACCGAUGAGAGUAGCAUACGAAUAAGCAUCGGCUAACUCCGUGCCAGCAGCCGCGGUAAUACGGAGGAUGCAAGCGUUAUCCGGAUUCAUUGGGUUUAAAGGGUGCGUAGGCGGCUUGGUAAGUCAGCGGUGAAAUUCCAGUGCUCAACAUUGGCCGUGCCGUUGAUACUGCUGGGCUUGAAUGCGGAUGCCGUGGGAGGAAUGUGUGGUGUAGCGGUGAAAUGCAUAGAUAUCACACAGAACACCGAUUGCGAAGGCAUCUCACGAAUCCGCA
rnacentral:rRNA from 1 species